rnacentral:rRNA from 1 species
GCAAGUCGAACGAGAAAUUAUCUUCGGAUAAUGGACAGUGGCAGACGGGUGAGUAACGCGUGGCAACCUACCAUUUUCUAAGGGACAACAGUUGGAAACGACUGCUAAUACCUUAUACGUCCUCCGGGAGAAAGAUUUAUCGGUGAAUGAUGGGGCCGCGUUAGAUUAGCUUGUUGGUGAGGUAAUGGCUCACCAAGGCGACGAUCAGUAGCCGACCUGAGAGGGUGAUC